UUCGAUUCUGGCUCAGAACGAACGCUGGUGGCGUGUCUUAUACAUGCAAGUCGAGCGAGGCAGCAAUGCCGAGCGGCGAACGGGUGAGUAACGCGUAAGCAAUCUGCCCCAUAUCAGGAAAUACCCGUGCCAACGCGCGGUUAAUGUCCAGGAGAGUGGCUCCUUGCAUGAGGAGUUGACUAGAGAUUUAUCGGUAUGGGAUGAGCUUGCGUCCGAUUAGCUAGUUGGCGGGGCAACGGCCCACCAAGGCGACGAUCGGUAGCCGGCCUGAGAGGGUGAUCGGCCACAUUGGGACUGAGAUACGGCCCAGACUCCUACGGGAGGCAGCAGUAGGGAAUAUUGCACAAUGGGGGAAACCCUGAUGCAGCAACGCCACGUGUGGGAAGAAGCAUUUCGGUGUGUAAACCACUGUCAUGAGGAAUAAGGCCUUAUCCGUAAGGACUUGAAUGUACCUUGAGAGGAAGCACCGGCAAACUUCGUGCCAGCCGCGGC
rnacentral:rRNA from 1 species